CUGGGUGUAAAGGGGGCGCAGGCGGGAAGGUAAGUUAGAGGUGAAAUCUCACGGCUCAACCGGGAAACUGCCUUUGAUACUGCUUUUCUUGAGUUAGGGAGAGGUUGAUGGAAUGCCAGGUGUAGCGGUGAAAUGCGUAGAUAUCUGGAAGAACACCGGUGGCGAAGGCGGUCAACUGGCCCUAAACUGACGCUCAUGCACGAAAGCGUGGGGAUCAAACAG
rnacentral:rRNA from 1 species